UGUGGUUAAUUCGACGCAACGCGAAAACCUUACCUGGGCUUGACAUGGAGAGAAUCUUCUGGAAACAGAAGAGUGCCUCGGUAAGAGGAGCUCUCACACAGGUGCUGCAUGGCUGUCGUCAGCUCGUGCCGUGAGGUGUUGGGUUAAGUCCCGCAACGAGCGCAACCCUCAUCUCUAGUUGCCAUCAUUAAGUUGGGCACUCUAGAGAAACUGCCACAGUUAAUGCGGAGGAAGGUGGGGAUGACGUCAAGUCCUCAUGGCCCUUAUGUCCAGGGCUACACACGUGCUACAAUGGGCGGUACAAAGGGUCGCAAACCCGUAAGGGGGAGCAAAUCCACUUAAAGCCGUCCUCAGUUCGGAUUGAGGUCUGCAACUCGACCUCAUGAAGCUGGAAUCGCUAGUAAUCGCGGAUCAGUAUGCCGCGGUGAAUACGUUCCCGGGCCUU
rnacentral:rRNA from 1 species